rnacentral:misc_RNA from 1 species
AAGUCGUAACAAGGUUUCCGUAGGUGAACCUGCGGAAGGAUCAUUAUCGAAUCUAUUAGGGAGGAGUUGUGCUGGCCCUUUUCUGGGCAUGUGCACGCUUCGCUCGAAAGCUUUCAAACCCCUGUGCACAUCUGUAGGGAAUGCGAGCGCCUGCGCUUGCUGACCCUAUGUUUUAUUAUAUACCCAUUGUAUGUCUCUGAAUGUCUAAACACCUUCUGUGCGCUGUAAAAGGCGUGCGGAUUGAAACUAUUAUAACUUUCAACAACGGAUCUCUUGGCUCUC